rnacentral:lncRNA from 1 species
AGCCAUCAUAUUUGACUUCUUCUCUCACAGGUGGACCACACUUUUUUCCUAACAGUCAAAAAAUCAAUUCUCAAAAUCACUCCCAAACAGACUCUACAUGUCAACCAAUUCACUUUGUCUUGGUUAAGGAUUGGAACAGCAUUAUGUGGGAGGAAAACUCAAGCCCCCAAGCUUUUGAUCUAUUGUUCGAAAAUAAGAGCAUCUCCAUUCGUGGUAUACAAGAUUCAAAUUUUCAAAGUGAUCGAAAACCCCACUAAUGGAGAAAUGCAAACUGCAUUUUUCGAAAGAAAAUGUCAAAAAAGAAGCAUUCACAAGAGAUAAAAGUGAAUUUUUUGGAUCUUGAUAGGUCCAGUCAAAACAAAGACACAAACAAAUAAAUUUAAAUAAAUAAUACUUCCUUUUGGGUAGGAAGGAAACCACAAACAAACCAAAUAAUAAUUUAAUUCACACUCCAAUAGCUAACACACAACAAAUAUAUAUAUAGACUCCUAAUAACUAAUUGUAGCUUAGUGGCUACUAACCACCCACUUAGUGGCUGGGUACUAACCACUCAACACUUUUGGAGCAUGUUCCCAUGUUGACACAAUGAGGUGUCUUUGCUGGUCAUUAUG